GACUCUGGUCACUGGGAGGCUUGAGGCAGCUGGUGCUCCUGAUGCUCUCUCCCGUGUACCUGCCACGUCCAUCUACUCUGGAGAGCCUUCCCAGAGUUGCCCUGGCUCUACAACACUGGCAUAAGACUCCCUUCCCCUUACGGGCUGCCAUCUUUGUCCCCAGUACCCAGAGCAUACAUGCACACCCUCUCCACCACCACCCUCAGCCCAUAAAUCAUCUGGACUGGGCUCAUUCAGCAGCUCCAGGAGGCCCUGGCUGUGGGACUCAGCCCCCCACUCUGAUUUUGUCAUCAGAAGAGCUGGCUUGCUCUGCGUGAAGCUGAACCAUGCUGAAGUCAUAUGAAGGGGACUGAGGCAGUCUCUGGCCAGCCGUUCAUGAGGAGCACAGGCCCCAGAGCCCAGUGUCCUCAAAGAACCAAGUGAACCCUGUCCCUGGAAGAACUUGGAAGUGGACCCUCCUCCAGCUGGCCCUGAAAAUGAAGUCCAUGUGACAUCCACAGGGGCUGACCCACUGUGAAGCAGACUGUAAACGAAGUUUCUUUCCUGCCCUGUCCUUCAUUCAGUUCCAAACAAACACACAGAGGCUUCUGUUAAUUAUAAAUUGAUGACUCGGGAUUCUCA